GUCCCUCAUGGCCCAUUCAGGUGCCCAGAGCUGCGGGCCUUGUUUCCUGGCGCUGCCUCCUCCCAUAUGGGUGUGCAGCAUCCUGCUCCAGAGCCUUCAGCCUCUGCACCCCUCAUCUGCCAAUGCAGGUGGUGGCACUUAGGGCCCACCUGGGUAGUCCUCACGAUUCACCUUUAUCACUGCAUGAGAGAACAUUCUCAGUUCCAGGCAUUAGGACCGGAAUUCCUUUGGGGCCGGCUCUCCCACCCACCACUGUGCCUGAAUGUGAUGCACACAGUGGCCAGCAUAUCCAGAGGCUUCCAGGAGGACCUGGGGUGGCUGGAGCUAGAGCAGGACCUGGUGUCAGAAGCAGGUGGGGCCAGGGAUUCCCAAGUAAGGCUUGGCGUGUACUUGAAGUGAGCAAAGGGUUUUGAAUGACUGGAUCAGAUUAAUGUUUUUUAUAGAUGGGUCUCCAGUCUGUGUGAACAGAUUGCAGGGUGCCACGGUGGGAGCUAAGGCCCAGGCAGAGGCUUUGCAGAGUCCCAGGAGAGGGCGCUGCAGCCCAGACUGGUGUGUGGGUGGAAGGCGGCCGAUGCAUUUCUCUGCUGUUUUUCUCCCCGCUGAGCUUGGUUCCUCAUGGAGGGCGGAUGGCAGACAUUUCGCUCUGGGACCUGAUGCCUAUGCAUCUGAAAGACUUCCCCAGGUGCCUGGGUCUAAGAACCACCGUCUGCCUUUGAGUAGAGUUUCUACAAACGUAACAUUCACCGAUGGAUGGAAGAUGGCCACAGCUCUAAAAUCACAGGGAGCUUUAGCAGAAGAAAAUAGAAGAUCACAGCUGUUCCCAUGGACUAAGCUGGCAGGUGACAGCCCCCUAACUUCUCAGCUCACACCUAACGGUGUCUGUGUCUGGUGAAAGCUGCUUCAGCAGGGACAGUCAGAGAACAGCGUGGAGUGAGCUGGCUUGUGGGGUCAUCUUUUCAGUCUCCUCCUUUGGGGCCUGGGAGAAGGGAGCGGCAGAUGGCCAGGCCCCCACCACAGGUCAUCGAGGUCACCUCCAGGUGGCUGCCGUGGUGGGCGGGGUGGGGGGCAUGUUCACACCCAUUCUGAGGGCACAUCCCAGUUGCUGCACACCCUUCACCUCUGCGAUGCUGGGACCACAUGCUCAGGCACAGUAGGGGGCCUUGCUGCACUCAUCGGGUAGCUCUGGGAUGGUGGGUGUGCCCUGGGCUGGAGUGACUGUGACCGCAUCAAGCAGUCCGCCAGCGGAACCAAGUGGCGCAUGUUCAUCAUCAAGUCCAUGGGCGGCUACUGUGGCUACCUGGCCAACAUGGGGGGCUCGCGGUCGGAGCCGAUGCUGUAUACAUUUUCGAAGAGCCCUUCGACAUCAGGGAUCUGCAGUCCAGUGUGGAGCACCUGAUGGAGAAAAGACCACCAUCCAGAGGGGCCUUGUGCUCAGGAAAAAAAUUGACCACUGAUGAUUCCAUUUGUGUGCUGGGAAUAAGCAAAAGAAAUGUUAUUUUUCAACCUGUGGCAGAGCUGAAGAAGCAAACGGAUUUUCACCACAGGAUUCCCAAAGAACAGUGGUGGCUCAAGCUGCGGCCCCUCAUGAAGAUCUUGGCCAAGUACAAGGCCAGCUACGACGUGUCAGACUCAGGCCAGCAAGAGCACGUGCAGCCCUGGAGCGUCUGACCCGGUCCUGCCUGCAUGUGCCUGCAACCUGGACUCACUGUGGACCACCUGUUUUUGUAACACUUAUUUAUCAGCACUUUAUGAAAGUAUUAUUGACAUUAAUACCUAACCAGCAAGCACCUGUCACUGCCCAUGUGCCCCACCAGCUCCAGUGCAUGCUGUCUGUGGACUGUGUCUCAUGCUUUCAGAUGUGUGUAUUACAUGUUUGCCUACAACUGCAACAGUCCUCCAUUUUAGUUUUUUAGCUACUAAUGGUUUUCUCAGCACUUUUGUGGGCAAAGAUUAUAAAAAUAUUUUUAGCAGGGAUCACUGAACUAUGCACAACUCAUAAAAGGAGAAAAAAGCCAGUUGUUUACACAGGCCAAAGGGAACACCGUGUUUAUUGCCAUGUGUCAGUUUCCAUCCACAGCAGCAGGCCAGGACCCUGGGCCUCGACCCCAGGCUCCUGCUCUCCUUAGAAAGUAAAAGAACACAUGAAUCUUAUCUACUAGGCCUCUUGAUUGCAAUCCUGGCUGCAUGUUAAAACCACCAAGGUAGGGGUUCGAAAAAUCUGAUAGCCAGUUUCUCAUCCAGUCCAAGCCACCGUCCUUGCUGGGACCUAAUUUGGAAUUCUCUGAUGACUCUUGCCAGAACAGACAUGGGUGCUGGGGUGACAGCCCUGCCACCCUCGCGGGCCCCCCUCUUGUAGGGACAGCGUUUGUCUCUUAGCUCUAGUCUGUAAGAGACCACACUGUGCCUCAGAAGCGGGGGUGGAGAGCUGUAUUGGGGGAGAGGAGACCCCAAAAACAAGCUGUUUGGGAAAUCAGAGUCCAACGGCCAAGAAGAGCUGGCAUGGAGGCUUUCCUUUCUGGCUCUGUAAAGACGAAGUGAGCGCUUACUCACCCCAGCCUACCUCUCAGGA